GACGAACGCUGGCGGCGCGUCUAAGACAUGCAAGUCGAACGGCCUUGAGUGAAGCAAUUCGUUCAAGGUACCGUGGCGAACGGGUGAGUAACACGUAGCUAACCUGCCCUCCAGUAUAGGGAUAAGGCCCGAAAGGCCGGUAAUACCUAUUACGCUCUCCGGAGGAAAGCCCGCAAGGGCGCUGGUGGAGGGGGCGUGCGGCC
rnacentral:rRNA from 1 species